AGGGGCUGCUGUUUUGGGCCGACCUCCUCCUGUGCUUUGGUCCCUUAUUUUCUCGGGGAGGGAUCCAGACCCUUUAGUCCUGCCCGCUCCUCCACGUGGUCAGAGUGGUGCAUCCCCUCAGCCUCCACAGACUGAGGUCCUGCCUGGCGCGCCUGACGCCAAUGCCUGCUCGCUUUCCCUGGGCUCUGAGUCCCGCUCACCGCCUCUCUGGACCCGCUGUCCCUGCAGUGACGCCCCGGGAGCGCUGGCCCUCCCCGCACAGUGCUCAGCUGGGCCCACAGACGGACCCGUUGGCCCCGACGGACGCUGUGCUUUUCCCCCUCUCCGAGGCAAAGUGGAUUUUCUGAGAGAAAUUUGGAGAUGUGGCGGGAGGGAGAGAGCAAGAGACCACCUGCUUCUCUUGAAAAUGCUCUCGGGCACCCCAUUGUGUGCUCAGUUUAUGCCUCUUUUUUUUUUUUCUUUUUGCGGUCACACCUGGUGAUGCACAAGGAUUACUCCUGGCUCUCCACUGAGGAAUUACUCCUGGCGGGGCUCAGGGGACCAAUAGGGAUGCUGAGAACCGAACCCGGUUGGCCACGUGCAAGACAAACGCCCUACAGCUGUGCUAUCACUCCAGCAGCAACACCUUUUGCUGUAUGCAUCCUUUUGUUCUCUUGGCCUGCCAAGUUUCUCUACAGAGUCCAGUGCAAUAUUAUUUUCAUUUCAUAUUCUUUAAGUGUGCUUCAAUCGGGGCCUGAAGCAAGGUUAUAGCAGCUAAGACACUUUGCUUUCACAAGCCCAUAAUAAGUUUGAUCCCUGGCUCUCCAUAUGCAAUGUGGUUCCUGAGCCCUGAGCCAGGAGUAAUCCCCCAGUGCUGCCUGGUGUGUCACAAAGAAAUGACACAAAACAGUCACCGUUACCAAUAUUUGUCAUUCAUUGACUUACUUUGAAGUUGCAUGACGGUCAAGUUGCUCUUCUGAGACUAUGGUUGAUACUUGCAAUCCUUUCGUAGUAUUCAUUGGCUCUCUGAAUUCUAUAUUUACUUAGAAAACCAUCUAUCUAAAUGGGCAGUCUGCUGUUACAUACUAGUCCUAUAAUUUUCUAACUACUGCAGAUACUAGAGACACUCAAACGAAUCUCACAACUGAGCAGCUAGCUGCAGAGAUGCUUCCAGAUUUUGUAAUAGGCCACUUUCACUGGGUUACUCCAGAUGGGAGCAAGUGCUGUCCCUCCGCCUGCCCCCUAGAAAAUCCAGCAGCCGCCAUCUUCCAGAACUCAACAAAAAACCCAGGUAUGUGAGAGCAGUAGCGGCAAACACCACGCCUCACAGGACAGGGGAGGAGCUGGUCCCUCUCCUUCCCACUGCCCUGAUGGGACUCUGAGAUGACACCCACAAAAUGCCCCCGGCUACUUAUUAAGCACCUAAAUGACCAUGAUCCAGAGACAUACAAAUGAACCCCAGAACUGAGCAGCUCGCUGCAGAGAUCUCUCCAGAACCUACAUAUUAAAAGUUUAGAAUUCCAGGAGAGAAGCUGCUUGAUAUUAUAUUGCUUAUUCAUAAUAAGCAAUAUAAAACAAAUUGUCUAGCAUUGCUUUUUCGGCAGGUUUGAGUGGUGUUGGGAAAAUUCCCAAUAAUAAUGUGGCCGAGAUGUGAUCCCGGGGGCCGCACGCAUGUGCGGCCUCUCCGCAGCUGCACAAGCAUGAAUCCAGACCCAGCAAAACCUUUCGGCGUGGGCAACUCCUCGCAGAAUGUCUCCAGCCUGAGAACUAAGCCUCGGCCCCGUGCCCGCCCAGAUGGGGAAAGAUGGAGGGAAUUCAGAGUCUUGAAACCAGUUAUUCAAGAAGCAUUAGAAGAGCUUCUGUAAAGGACAGGAAAAAUUUCCCUUGUGUUUUGAAACUCUGAGUGUGGCUCUCAUUCAAAAUGCUGAUGGUUGCCCUCUACUAGAUUAAGAAAGGGAUGUCCUGAGACCGGUGUGACAUCCUCAGUCCUGCAAUUAGGGUCCCACGUGUGCCUAAUACUUGACGACAGAUGUGUGAUGAUGAUGCUAUGCUGGGAGCCAUGCAGGAUGCCAAACUGUAGGCCAAGAGGAAGAGGAGGAACAAAGGUGCCUGGUUUAAGGGGAGAACAAGACCACAGACUACUGAC